rnacentral:rRNA from 1 species
AACGAACGCUGGCGGCAGGCCUAACACAUGCAAGUCGAGCGGACCCUUCGGGGUUAGCGGCGGACGGGUGAGUAACGCGUGGGAAUAUGCCCUUCUCUACGGAAUAGUCCUGGGAAACUGGGGGUAAUACCGUAUACGCCCUUUGGGGGAAAGAUUUAUCGGGGAAGGAUUAGCCCGCGUUGGAUUAGGUAGUUGGUGGGGUAAUGGCCUACCACGCCGACGAUCCAUAGCUGGUUUGAGAGGAUGAUCAGCCACACUGGGACUGAGACACGGCCCAGACUCCUACGGGAGGCAGCAGUGGGGAAUCUUAGACAAUGGGGGCAACCCUGAUCUAGCCAUGCCGCGUGAGUGAUGAAGGCCUUAGGGUUGUAAAGCUCUUUCAGCUGGGAAGAUAAUGACGGUACCAGCAGAAGAAGCCCCGGCUAACUCCGUG